CGUAGGUGGCGAGCGUUUGUCCGGAAUUAUUGGGCGUAAAGGGAGCGCAGGCGGGAAGGUAAGUCUAUCUUAAAAGUGCGGGGCUCAACCCCGUGAGGGGAUGGAAACUAUCUUUCUUGAGUGCAGGAGAGGAAAGCGGAAUUCCUAGUGUAGCGGUGAAAUGCGUAGAUAUUAGGAGGAACACCAGUGGCGAAGGCGGCUUUCUGGACUGUAACUGACGCUGAGGCUCGAAAGCGUGGGGAGCGAACAGGAUUAGAUAC
rnacentral:rRNA from 1 species